GUGCCUUAAACUAAUGAGUAAGGAAAAUUACGGGCCUUGGUGAUGCUUGGCUCUGCCUACAAACCAACGGGUGCGCCCUCGUGGCACGCUCGGUAGGUGCAUAUUUUUGUAGGGGCACAGGUCGUCCCUGAGCUUGUCCUGCCUACUUUGCAGGAUGCUCGGGAGCAUUGCGAUCUGCCUC